AUGUAGUGAGACCUUCUUUGGAAGGGGGCAGGACGAAGCCACAGCAGGCUUGGAUUUCUUUCUUUCCCUUGGGACAAUCGAAUAGUGACUUCCAUGGCUGGCCUGUCUGCCUGUCUUUCUGUCUCCUGCUCAGAUCUGGUCACCACCCAGCAGACCCCUAGACCCCUAAAAACCCUAGACCUCAGGCUGGGGUAGGUUCUCCCCACCACAGUCACUCCACAAGCUUCUCAGAAUUGCAUGUCUCCCAGCUGUACAAGGCAACCCUAGUGGUGUUGAGGAAAAACCUAAAGAAGGCCAUCCGGCGUGCUGAGUGCAGGGAAGUGCCAAAUGCUAGGGAGGCUUGGGCACUCUCAACAGUUCAAGGCCCAUAUUACAACUUCCAAGAGCAGAGUGGAUGGCUCACAAACCAGCAAUGGUCAAGGGCCAUUUCCUUCUCUGGUCCUGGACGAAGAGGCUACAAAGGGUAAUGGUUUGUAGGAAGCUAUUCGUUCAGCCACUGGGUGUGCCAAUAACAAAGACCAAGAAGGAAAAACACCUCUCCAGGAAUGAUUCUCUAGCAGGUCACAGAGAGAAGCAGCUCUUCUACCUUCCUGGAUGAACAGCCACGUGAACUUCCAAUAAGAACACGAGCUUACAGGAUGAGUUAUUUCCUUCUGACCCAAGCAAAGAACAUGGCCCAUUUCCUGCUCAUCAAAGAACUUCAUUAGAGGGAAACUGCAGACACAGCAUUCAGUUAUAAAAACCCAUUCAAAUUUUACUAGUGUAAUGUGCUUAUUUCUGGAUUUAAUCUACAUA